rnacentral:rRNA from 1 species
CAUAUCAUAUUGAAACACCGGCUCCUGUACGAUCCCCGAAGUUAAUCAACGUCGAAACUGGCCAGUAACUAGAUGGGUGACCGCUUGGGAAUACCACAUGCUGUAAG